rnacentral:rRNA from 1 species
GACGAACGCUGGCGGCGUGCUUAACACAUGCAAGUCGAACGAGUGGCGAACGGACGAGUAAGACGUGCGUAACAUGCCCUCUUUUUGGGAUAAGACUUGGAAACGGGGCCUACUACCAGAACAAGGUGGAUGGGCUCGCGGCCUAUGAGCUUGUUGGUGGGUUGAUGGCCUAACAAGGCGGUGACGGGUAGCCGGCCUGAGAGGGUGAACUGCCACGUUGGGACUGGGCACAGGCCCAGAAUCCUACGGGAGGGAGCAGUGGGGGAUAUUGCGCAAUGGGCGAAAGCCUGAUGCAGCGAGGCCGAGUGGGGGCUGAAGGCUUUCGGGUUGUUAACCUCUUUCGCAAACGAACGGGUAGGUGGAGAAGAAGCGCCGGCUAACUACGUGCCAGCAGCCGCGGUAAUAC